CGUUCUAUGGCCUAAUUGGUAAAGGCAUCGCCGAUCACAGGCAAGGAUGCGGGUUCGAGCCCGCUGAAACGG
rnacentral:tRNA from 1 species